AGCAGCCGCGGUAAUUCCAGCUCCAAUAGCGUAUAUUAAAGUUGUUGCAGUUAAAAAGCUCGUAGUUGAAUUUCGGGAUUGACGUGAUGGUCGUGCCUUACGGGGUAUGAACUGUUGCUGUUGAUUUCUCACCUUCUGGAGAAACUUGAUGUCCUUAAUUGGGUGUCUUGCGGAUCCAGGACCUUUACCUUGAAAAAAUUUAGAGUGUUUAAAGCAGGCAUUUUUGCUCGAAUACAUUAGCAUGGAAUAAUAGAAUAGGACGGCAUGGUUCUAUUUUGUUGGUUUCUAGGAUCACCGUAAUGAUUAAUAGGGAUAGUUGGGGGGCAUUAGUAUUCAAUUGUCAGAGGUGAAAUUCUUGGAUUUAUUGAAGACUAACUACUGCGAAAGCAUUUGCCAAGGAUGUUUUCAUUAAUCAAGAACGAAAGUUAGGGGAUCGAAGACGAUCAGAUACCGUCGUAGUCUUAACCAUAAACUAUGCCGACUAGGAAUCAGACGAUGUUAAUUUUUUUAAAUGACUCGU
rnacentral:misc_RNA from 1 species